CUUCUUACUCCAAUGGCAUCAUUUUCUUCAAGUUCAUGUGGGUUACUUAACGGAUGACUACAACAAGUAUUGGUAAAACAACCUGGAAAAUGACAGCAGAGAUUAACUUUUCUUCAAAGUAGGUCUUAAAGAUCAAGAAAAAACUGUGUGACAGUUCUUCUUGGUAUCAGCCCCAAUUUUAUUGUCAUUUUCAUCAAUAAGAAUACACAUCUCUGCCAGAAGUUGAACCUGUUGCUCAUCGAGAUGGUCAGUACGUAUUUCCGGCAUCGUUACAAAAUGUCUGCUCUGGCCAAGAGUACUAACACUAAAAGGAAAGAGGAGAGGUAUUGUAUUUUUCUGAACAGUGGAAAAGUGAUUCUACAGCCGCGUCCAGUGAACGCUUCAGCUAUUUCAAAGGCUAUGAAUUACACCCGCUGCUCCUAUCUGCAGUCUCACCACUCCUCAUUCCCACGGAGUUCCUCCAGGAAUGCUGCUGACCCAACACGCAGUCCCACUCGUGGCCAUUUCUCCUUUGGGCAGUCAGUCACAGCUGGUCUUUUACCACGGUCACUCUCAACGACCAAAUUCAAGGUUCUAAAUUCUUGGCCUCUGAAACUUGGCCUUUCUCCUUUGUGUACUUUUCUUGCUUAGAAGUCUGUCCACCUGUGAUCUGGCCCUUGCUUAAUUCUUCACCCUGUUUUUCCACAACAGCUUCUGUAUUCUUUACUAUGUGGUUCCACAGCCAUCCCAAAUAGUCCGUCAUUCUCUGCUUCUUCAUAGUUGCUCAAGAAUGCCACAGGCCAGCCUUUACGGAAAUCCAUUUUUCAAAGUCCAAAUCACAUGCCAACCAUUGAAAAAACCCUUUAACCAAUGUCCUAGUAAGAUUUAAUCCAGUCUUUCUCAACCUGGAUGUUUAAUGAGAAAAAUGAUUUAAGUAACUGCUUUGUCAACUGUCUCAAAUACCAUACACAGUUCAUAAGAGAAAGCUUAAUUCAUUAUAUUUAAUGAUACCUUAGAACAGUGCUCUGCAACUUUUUUCCUUUAAAGGGCCAGAGAGUAACAAUUUUGCUCUUGUAGCAAUGAAGUAACCAUAGGCAAUGGGUAAACUAACCAUGGUUGUGUUCUAAUAAAUGUUUAUUUAUGGGCACAGAAAUGUGAAUUGCA